UACGUAGGGUGCAAGCGUUAAUCGGAAUUACUGGGCGUAAAGCGUGCGCAGGCGGUUCUAUAAGACAGAUGUGAAAUCCCCGGGCUCAACCUGGGAACUGCAUUUGUGACUGUAGAGCUGGAGUGCGGCAGAGGGGGAUGGAAUUCCGCGUGUAGCAGUGAAAUGCGUAGAUAUGCGGAGGAACACCGAUGGCGAAGGCAAUCCCCUGGGCCUGCACUGACGCUCAUGCACGGAAGCGUGGGGAGCAAACAGG
rnacentral:rRNA from 1 species